rnacentral:tRNA from 1 species
GGCGGAUUACCCGAGUGGCCAAAGGGGACUGACUGUAAAUCAGUUGGCUAUGCCUUCAGAGGUUCAAAUCCUCUAUCCGCCA